UGUUACAGUUUAAUAUCAUAAAGAUUAUUCUUUGUCAUUAUUAGCUCACAUUUUUUCAUUUUAGUCUAGCUAUGCAACACCUACUGUAACUGGCUGGUUUGAAGUGGAACUAGAAAAUGGAAAGCUUCUACAUUCUAAGAAGAAUGGAGAUGGAUAUGUGGAUUCCAGACAAAAGCUAGAAAAAAUUAUACGGGGAAUAAGUGAAGCACUGGGUGAAUAAGUCUACAUUAGUGAAAAUUUAACCUAAAUCAGAAGGCUGAUACAUUUGUGAUGACACCUGGAUUUCAAAACAGCGUAUGAGGGGUCUCCUUAAAGUUGCCGGGACGAUGCCAGAAGUUUCCUGCUUUGUUAUCCAAGAUUUUGUCACAAUUUCUCUCAAACUAGUUGUGCUUGAAUUUUUUACUGCUUUAUCUAACUGUAGCAAAUGUAAUAAAAUUAGUUGUUUUAUUUUUACAAAUUAAAACUAAAACGAAAUAAUAUACAAAUACAUAGCACAAGAUUUGAUGGAAAACCAAGAAUAGGAAAAGAUUUAAAGUUCCUGUUAGUGUAAGCCACAGUUUAUGUGCUGAUUCUGUCAUCACUCAGUUCUCCACAGUUUGGUUUGUAUUAUGGGUGUAUACGUGUGUUCUUGAAAAAUUGUAUUUUAUGCAUGACACAAUAAAAUGAAUCUGAGAAAACACAUUUAGCUGUGCAA